CAGUAGCGUAUAUUAAAGUUGUUGCAGUUAAAAAGCUCGUAGUUGGAUUUCUGGUACAACGCGCCUGGCCCGCUUACGUGAGUGCCGGUGCGCGUUUGCCAUCCUUCUAGAAAACGUCUCUACUCGGGCAACUGAGCCGGAUUCGCGAUCUAGAUCUUUUUACUUUUUGAAAAAAUUAGAGUGUUUAAAGCAGGCUAUUGCCUUGAAUACAUUAGCAUGGAAUAAUAAUCUAGGACUUCGGUUCUAUUUUUGUUGGUUUCUAGUACUGAAGUAAUGAUUGAUAGGGAUAGUUGGGGGUGCUAGUAUUGACCGGCCAGAGGUGAAAUUCUUGGAUUCGGUCAAGACUAACU
rnacentral:rRNA from 1 species